GAUGAACGCUGGCGGCGUGCCUAAUACAUGCAAGUCGAGCGAACAGACGAGGAGCUUGCUCCUCUGACGUUAGCGGCGGACGGGUGAGUAACACGUGGAUAACCUACCUAUAAGACUGGGAUAACUUCGGGAAACCGGAGCUAAUACCGGAUAAUAUAUUGAACCGCAUGGUUCAAUAGUGAAAGACGGUUUUGCUGUCACUUAUAGAUGGAUCCGCUCCGCAUUAGCUAGUUGGUAAGGUAACGGCUUACCAAGGCGACGAUGCGUAGCCGACCUGAGAGGGUGAUCGGCCACACUGGAACUGAGACACGGUCCAGACUCCUACGGGAGGCAGCAGUAGGGAAUCUUCCGCAAUGGGCGAAAGCCUGACGGAGCAACGCCGCGUGAGUGAUGAAGGUCUUCGGAUCGUAAAACUCUGUUAUUAGGGAAGAACAAAUGUGUAAGUAACUAUGCACGUCUUGACGGUACCUAAUCAGAAAGCCACGGCUAUCUACGUG
rnacentral:rRNA from 1 species